GCCCGCCUAGCUCAAUCGGAUAGAGCGUCAGACUCUUACGACAGUAGGCAGGGCAUCUGAAGGCUGCGAGUUCGACCCUCGCGGUGGGCU
rfam:Cylindrobasidium torrendii FP15055 ss-10 unplaced genomic scaffold CYLTOscaffold_53, whole genome shotgun sequence.